rnacentral:rRNA from 1 species
UACGUAGGCAGCGAGCGUUGUUCGGAGUUACUGGGCGUAAAGGGUGUGUAGGCGGUUGUUUAAGUUUGGUGUGAAAUCUCCCGGCUCAACCGGGAGGGUGCGCCGAAUACUGAAUGACUAGAGUGUGGGAGAGGUGAGUGGAAUUCCUGGUGUAGCGGUGAAAUGCGUAGAUAUCAGGAGGAACACCGGUGGUGUAGACGGCUCACUGGACCAUAACUGACGCUGAGACACGAAAGCGUGGGUAGCAAACAGG